CCUACGGGGGGCAGCAGUCGAGAAUCAUUCACAAUGGGGGAAACCCUGAUGGUGCGACGCCGCGUGGGGGAAUGAAGGUCUUCGGAUUGUAAACCCCUGUCAUGUGGGAGCAAAUUAAAAAGAUAGUACCCCAAGAGGAAGAGACGGCUAACUCUGUACCAGCAGCCGCGGUAAUACAGAGGGCUCAAGCGUUGUUCGGAAUCACUGGGCGUAAAGCGUGCGUAGGCUGUUUCGUAAGUCGUGUGUGAAAGGCGCGGGCUCAACCCGCGGACGGCACAUGAUACUGCGAGACUAGAGUAAUGUAGGGGGAACCGGAAUUCUCGGUGUAGCAGUGAAAUGCGUAGAUAUCGAGAGGAACACUCGUGGCGAAGGCGGGUUCCUGGACAUUAACUGACGCUGAGGCACGAAGGCCAGGGGAGCGAAAGGGAUUAGAUACCCGUGUAGUC
rnacentral:rRNA from 1 species